AUUGAACGCUGGCGGCAGGCCUAACACAUGCAAGUCGAACGAGUGGCGGACGGGUGAGUAAUGUCUGGGAAACUGCCUGAUGGAGGGGGAUAACUACUGGAAACGGUAGCUAAAACCGCAUACCAUCAGAUGUGCCCAGAUGGGAUUAGCUAGUUGGGGGGGUAACGGCUAACAAAGGCGACGAUCCCGAGCUGGUCUGAGAGGAUGACCGGCCACACUGGAAUUGAGACACGGCCCAGACUCCUACGGGAGGCAGCAGUGGGGAAUAUUGCACAAUGGGCGCAAGCCGGAUGAAGCAAGGCCGCGUGUAGGAAGAAGGCCUUCGGGUUGUAAAGUACUUUCAGCGGGGAGGCGUUACCCGCAGAAGAAGCACCAGCUAACUCCGUGCCAGCCGCCGCGGUAAUAC
rnacentral:rRNA from 1 species